GACGAACGCUGGCGGCGUGCUUAACACAUGCAAGUCGAACGGAAAGGCCCUACUUGCAGGGUACUCGAGUGGCGAACGGGUGAGUAACACGUGGGUGAUCUGCCCUGCACUUCGGGAUAAGCCUGGGAAACUGGGUCUAAUACCGGAUAGGAGCCAUUUUUAGUGUGAUGGUUGGAAAGUUUUUUCGGUGUAGGAUGAGCUCGCGGCCUAUCAGCUUGUUGGUGGGGUAAUGGCCUACCAAGGCGGCGACGGGUAGCCGGCCUGAGAGGGUGGACGGCCACAGUGGGACUGAGAUACGGCCCAGACUCCUACGGGAGGCAGCAGUGGGGAAUAUUGCACAAUGGGCGCAAGCCUGAUGCAGCGACGCCGCGUGGGGGAUGACGGCCUUCGGGUUGUAAACUCCUUUCGCUAGGGACGAAGCUUUUUGUGACGGUACCUAGAUAAGAAGCACCGGCUAACUACGUG
rnacentral:rRNA from 1 species